rnacentral:rRNA from 1 species
UACAGAGGGGGCAAGCGUUGUUCGGAAUUACUGGGCGUAAAGGGCGCGUAGGCGCCUUCUAAGUCGAACGUGAAAUCCCCGGGCUCAACCCGGGAACUGCGUCCGAUACUGGAAGGCUUGAAUCCGGGAGAGGGAUGUGGAAUUCCAGGUGUAGCGGUGAAAUGCGUAGAUAUCGGGAGGAACACCUGUGGCGAAAGCGGCUCACUGGACCACAACUGACGCUGAGGCGCGAAAGCUAGGGGAGCAAACAGG